rnacentral:lncRNA from 1 species
CAGAUUCCACGUGGUGGGCCGAGGUGAUGGCCACGUGUCCACUCCACUAUCUUCCGCAAUCAAUUUCCCUGACCAUGGGCGGCCCACUACCAGGCGGUUACAAACGUCGCCAUCAAUCCGUUGCCUCCCCCGCCUAUAAAAGGGGAAUCCAGAUACGUUAUUCUUUAAGCUCCUUUUCCCUAUCUCAAAACUCUGCUAAAUUCUCC